CAGGACGAACGCUGGCGGCGUGCCUAACACAUGCAAGUCGAGCGGAGUCAGUAAGAGGAAGUUUCGGAUGGAAUCUUGUUGAUUUAGCGGCGGACGGGUGAGUAACGCGUGAGCGACCAACCUUGCACAGGGGGAUAACGGACCGAAAGGUUCACUAAUACCGCAUGAGACCACGGUGUUGCAUGACACAGAGGUCAAAGGAGCAAUCCGGUGCAAGACGGGCUCGCGUCCGAUUAGGUAGUUGGAGGGUAACGGCCCACCAAGCCUAUGAUCGGUAGCCGACCUGAGAGGGUGAUCGGCCACAUUGGAACUGAGAUACGGUCCAAACUCCUACGGGAGGCAGCAGUGGGGAAUAUUGGGCAAAUGGGGGAAACCCUGACCCAGCAACGCCGCGUGAAGGAAGAAGGUUUUCGGAUUGUAAACUUCUGUCCUUGGUGAAGAGAAGAAGACGGUAGCCAAGGAGGAAGCCCCGGCUAACUACGUGCCAGCCGCAGC
rnacentral:rRNA from 1 species